AUUGAACGCUGGCGGCAGGCCUAACACAUGCAAGUCGAACGGUAACAGGAAGCAGCUUGCUGCUUCGCUGACGAGUGGCGGACGGGUGAGUAAUGUCUGGGAAGCUGCCUGAUGGAGGGGGAUAACAACUGGAAACGGUAGCUAAUACCGCAUAAUGUCGCAAGACCAAAGAGGGGGACCUUCGGGCCUCUUGCCAUCGGAUGUGCCCAGAUGGGAUUAGCUUGUUGGUGGGGUAACGGCUCACCAAGGCGACGAUCCCCAGCUGGUCUGAGAGGAUGACCAGCCACACUGGAACUGAGACACGGUCCAGACUCCUACGGGAGGCAGCAGUGGGGAAUAUUGCACAAUGGGCGCAAGCCUGAUGCAGCCAUGCCGCGUGUAUGAAGAAGGCCUUCGGGUUGUAAAGUACUUUCAGCGGGGAGGAAGGGAGUAAAGUUAAUACCUUUGCUCAUUGACGUUACCCGCAGAAGAAGCACCGGCUAACUCCGUG
rnacentral:rRNA from 1 species